UACGUAGGCAGCAGCGUUGUUCGGAGUACUGGGCGUAAAGGGUGUGUAGGCGGUUGUUUAAGUUUGGUGUGAAAUCUCCCGGCUCAACUGGGAGGGUGCGCCGAAUACUGAAUGACUUGGAGUGCGGGAGAGGAGAGUGGAAUUCCUGGUGUAGCGGUGAAAUGCGUAGAUAUCAGGAGGAACACCGGUGGUGUAGACGGCUCUCUGGACCGUAACUGACGCUGAGACACGAAAGCGUGGGUAGCAAACAGG
rnacentral:rRNA from 1 species